rnacentral:lncRNA from 1 species
UAAAAACCUCUGAUUUGUCUGAGUUACAUCUGCACAUGAAUGAAGAUGAUGUUAAGAAGAAAACAAGGACAGAGGUGGAGCAUAGGAUCUGCAUGAACUGUAAUGGCACAGAACUGGGUCAAAUAAUACUUUGACUUUUCCUGGGCACAACUUCUCAGUGUGAACGAUAUAUCUCUGUUGAUUCUGGCUGGGCCCUUUUUUCCUUCUGUAUGCUUACACAAGGUACGUGGCCAUGG